rnacentral:rRNA from 1 species
UACGUAGGGGGCAAGCGUUGUUCGGAAUUACUGGGCGUAAAGGGCGCGUAGGCGGCACGGCAAGUCAGGAGUGAAAGGCCUGGGCUCAACCUGGGAAUUGCUUUUGAAACUGCCGAGCUAGAGUGCGGAAGGGGCAACUGGAAUUCCCAGUGUAGCGGUGAAAUGCGUAGAUAUUCGCAAGAACACCAGUGGCGAAGGCGGCUCACUGGCCCGGUACUGACGCUGAGGUGCGAAAGCGUGGGGAGCAAACAGG